UGCAGUCGAGCGGUAACAGGGGGAGCUUGCUCCCCGCUGACGAGCGGCGGACGGGUGAGUAAUGCAUAGGAAACUGCCCAGUAGUGGGGGAUAGCCCGGGGAAACCCGGAUUAAUACCGCAUACGCCCUUUGGGGGAAAGCAGGGGAUCUUCGGACCUUGCGCUAUUGGAUGUGCCUAUGUCGGAUUAGCUAGUUGGUGGGGUAAGAGCCUACCAAGGCGACGAUCCGUAGCUGGUCUGAGAGGAUGAUCAGCCACAUCGGGACUGAGACACGGCCCGAACUCCUACGGGAGGCAGCAGUGGGGAAUAUUGGACAAUGGGGGCAACCCUGAUCCAGCCAUGCCGCGUGUGUGAAGAAGGCUUUCGGGUUGUAAAGCACUUUCAGUGAGGAGGAAAACCUUACGACUAAUACUCGUGAGGCUUGACGUUACUCACAGAAGAAGCACCGGCUAACUCCGUGCCAGCAGCCGCGGUAAUACGGAGGGUGCAAGCGUUAAUCGGAAUUACUGGGCGUAAAGCGCGCGUAGGUGGUUUGAUAAGCGAGAUGUGAAAGCCCCGGGCUCAACCUGGGAACGGCAUUUCGAACUGUCAGGCUAGAGUAUGGUAGAGGAGUGUGGAAUUUCCUGUGUAGCGGUGAAAUGCGUAGAUAUAGGAAGG
rnacentral:rRNA from 1 species